rnacentral:rRNA from 1 species
AUUGAACGCUGGCGGCAGGCUUAACACAUGCAAGUCGAGCGGGGUGAUGGUGCUUGCACUAUCACUUAGCGGCGGACGGGUGAGUAAUGCUUAGGAAUCUGCCUAUUAGUGGGGGACAACAUCUCGAAAGGGAUGCUAAUACCGCAUACGUCCUACGGGAGAAAGCAGGGGAUCACUUGUGACCUUGCGCUAAUAGAUGAGCCUAAGUCGGAUUAGCUAGUUGGUGGGGUAAAGGCCUACCAAGGCGACGAUCUGUAGCGGGUCUGAGAGGAGGAUCCGCCACGCUGGGACUGAGACACGGCCCAGACUCCUACGGGAGGCAGCAGUGGGGAAUAUUGGACAAUGGGGGGAACCCUGAUCCAGCCAUGCCGCGUGUGUGAAGAAGGCCUUAUGGUUGUAAAGCACGUUAAGCGAGGAGGAGGCUCUUUUGGUUAAUACCCAAGAUGAGUGGACGUUACUCGCAGAAUAAGCACCGGCUAACUCUGUGCCAGCAGCCGCGGUAA